rnacentral:sRNA from 11 species
UAAAGCCACCCUACAGGGGGGAUGAGAACCACCGACCGGGGUUCGACAACUGGCGCAGCCAGUUGGACAGACGACGAGCCUGCGAGGAGACUGCCCGAAGGGCGAGCGCAGCGAGUCAAUCCCCCCCUCACCGCCA